CCGUGCUAAGGUAGCAUAAUCACUUGCCUUUUAAUUGAAGGCUUGUAUGAACGGACACACGAAAGCACAGCUGUCUCCUUUAUGGCCCUGUAAAUUACCCUUUAGGUGAAGAGCCCUAAAUAAUGUAAAAAGACGAAAAGACCCUAUGGAGCUUUACUUCAUUUUAUUUACUGUAAAGUAAUAAAACUUACACCUAAGUUAAUAAAGUUUAGUUGGGGCGACUAAGGAGCACAAUAAACCCUCCUACUAUAAAACAGACCGUGUCUCGUUUCAAAAAUCCAUAACCAUGAAUAUAAAUUCAGCUACCCUAGGGAUAACAGGCUAAUCCUCCUCGAGAGCUCAAAUUGACAGGAGGGGUUGGCACCUC
rnacentral:rRNA from 1 species